ensembl:lncRNA novel transcript, antisense to BPTF
UCCUCGUUAGAUUGUUUCUGUAUAAAACAGGUUUAUAUAUGAAUACAUACAUUAAAGUAAUAUAUACAAGAUAUAUUCUAAAGUUGUUUAAAAAUGAUUGUCUUUGGGGGUUAGAUUUAGAGAUCAUUUUCAUUUGUUGGCUUUGAAGGGCAACUGACCAACUUUUUUAUACAUAAAGGAUAUAAACUACAACUAUUUUCCCACUCUGUGUAGAAUGUGGAACGGAAACAGUGUGUGGCACACUUUAAAUGAUGCUAAACUUCUACAGUGUGUAAACUGGCUUGUUCAAGAGGCCAAAGUGCUUCUGUUGAGAAACACUGAUGACCAAUCUCCUCUUUGUGGUCCUGUGAUACUGUGAAAUAUAUAUUUGAUCUUCCUCCCUGUUUCCCAGCAUACAAUUCCUAAAACCCUCAGAAUCUGCAAAAUAAGAUUUUUUUUUAAUGCUAAUGAUUGACUGAUGGCUGGAGGCUCCUAGAGAGCCUCAGGAUUGGGGCUGAUUCUCAGGGCUUUCAGUGCCACCUCCCAACCUCUGAGAAAAAGAGAGAGAGAGAGAGGCCAGGAGUUCGAGACCAGCCUGACAAAAAAUGGUGAAACACCCUCUCUACUAAAAUACAAAAAAUUAGCCAGGCAUGGUGGCACAUGCCUGUAAUCUCAGCAACUCGGGAGGCUGAGGAAGAAGAAUCACUUAAACCUGGGAGGCAGGUUCAAU